rnacentral:misc_RNA from 1 species
GAAAUGCGAUAAGUAAUGUGAAUUGCAGAAUGCAGUGAAUCAUCGAAUCUUUGAACGCACCUUGCGCUCCUUGGUAUUCCUUGGAGCAUGCCUGUUUGAGUAUCAUGAAAUCUUCAAAGUAAAUCUUUUGUUAACUCAAUUGGUUUCUACUUUGGUAUUGGAGGUCUUUGCAGCUUCACACCUGCUCCUCUUUGUUCAUUAGCUGGAUCUCAGUGUUAUGCUUGGUUCCACUCGGCGUGAUAAGUUAUCUAUCGCUGAGGACACUGUAAAAGGUGGCCAAGGUAAAUGCAGAUGAACCGCUUCUAAUAGUCCAUUGACUUGGACAAUACUUUUAUGAUCUGAUCUCAAAUCAGGUAGGACUACCCGCUGAACUUAAGC